AAAAAAAAGAAAAAAGGGAAAGAAGAUAGCAGAGACCAUAGGGAGUGCGAGCGAGGGACUAAAGAGUGCUAAAAGGACCAAAACAAAAGAGCAGAGAGAGAGAUAGAGAGGAAAGAAAGAUGGAGAGAUCUGAGUUGGGGACCGAGUCAUCCCUGAGUUAGGUCACAUCACGCCAUCGACUUGUCUGCAUUAAUUAGUAGUGACGAUCCAGAGCGUUAGAUCUCAUUCGUGUCAACCGUCUGAUUCUUCUUUUUCUCUCUCCCUUCCUCACGCUGCAUCUAAGAAUUUGAAGCGAACAAUCUGAAGGAAAAGAAGCUGCAACUAAGAAACCGAACGAUAAGGUCGGGUUUCGGUGGGUUGUUUUGUUGUACGACUCGGUGCUUUUUCAGAUUUGACCUUUGUGGAAGCUUGAAUGGAGCUCAAGUUCACUUGAUUAAAGUCGAUUUAGUGUUUGGAAGCUGAGAAAAUUGGAAGAAGUUUGAGUAAUGUUGAGGGAAAUAAAUAAUAAUUAUCUUAUGUAGCAGUUUAUAGUUGAAAUUUUGAUGAUAAUUGUUCUCUUUCAUUUGGAUCUUGUUUGGAUUCUCAGAAACAUAUAAAGUUGAUUUGUGGCAGUUAGGGCUGAAUAGUAGAAGCCCUAAUCUACUGGGAGUUUUUCUACUAAUUAAAUCCCUAGAAAAUUUGUGAACUAUAUUUGCCCAAAUAUGGAACAGACUUCAUAGCUUAGAAAUUGAAAGAGAGAUAGAAAUAUAUAGAACUAAUGGAAGAUAUCUCCAAGUAUUCCCACAGUCCUGUGCACUUUGCAGUUGCACGCCGUGAUUAUGCAGCCCUCAGGUGCAUUAUCUCAACUCUUCCGUCUCUUGCCAAGGCUGGUGAAGUUAAAACGGAACAAGAGUCUCUUGCUGCUGAGGUAAGAGCUGAUGCUGUUUCUGCUGUCAUUGAUCGCCGAGAUGUUCCUGGCCGUGAGACUCCUUUGCAUCUUGCUGUUAAAUUGCGAGACCCAAUCUCUGCAGAGAUUUUGAUGGCAGCUGGGGCAGAUUGGAGCCUGCAGAAUGAAAAUGGUUGGAGUGCUCUUCAAGAAGCAGUUUGCACAAGAGAGGAGCAAAUUGCUAUGAUAAUUGCUCGGCAUUACCAACCUCUUGCUUGGGCAAAAUGGUGUCGUCGGCUUCCACGAAUUGUUGCUUCAUCAGCCCGUAUCCGUGACUUCUACAUGGAGAUAGCAUUUCAUUUUGAGAGUUCAGUUAUCCCAUUUAUUGGCCGCAUUGCCCCCUCAGAUACUUAUCGCAUUUGGAAGCGUGGUUCUAACCUCCGUGCGGAUAUGACCCUUGCUGGGUUUGAUGGUUUUCGCAUUCAAAGGUCAGAUCAAACAUUUCUCUUCUUGGGAGAGGGGUAUUCUUCAGAGGAUAGUAAUAUAUCUUUGCCACCAGCUUCUUUGAUUGUUCUUGCUCACAAGGAAAAAGAAGUUACUAAUGCUUUGGAGGGGGCUGGUGCUCAACCAACAGAAGCAGAGGUUGCCCAUGAAGUGGCUUUAAUGUCUCAAACUAAUAUGUAUAGGCCAGGAAUUGAUGUCACUCAGGCAGAGCUUGUUCCUCAUUUGAACUGGCGGCGGCAAGAGAGGACAGAGAUGGUUGGAAAUUGGAAGGCCAAAGUUUAUGAUAUGUUUCAUGUGAUGGUGAGUGUGAAGUCAAGGCGCGUUCCAGGUGCAAUGACUGAUGAGGAGCUUUUUGCUGCGGAUGAUGAAGACAGGCCGGUAAAUGGUGCUGACAAUGAUGAGUUUGAUGAUGUAUUGACAGCUGAGGAGAGGAAGCAGUUGGAUACUGCACUUCGUAUGGGGAAUUCAGAUGGUCUUUGUGAGGAUGAGGAACUUGGGGUCAUCGAGUAUCAAGAAAAUGGAUCUGGAGGUUCUUAUGAAAAUGGGGAAUCCAAUGGUGCCAUUAAAGAGAAGAAGAGUUGGUUUGGUUGGAAGAACAAAGGUUCAAAGAACAAUAAUGAUGAUCCUGAAGAUUCAAAAAUCUUGAAGAAGUUUUCGAAGUUGGCACCUGAAGGUGGGAACCAGAAAUCAGUUGAUAAUAAAAAAUCAUCGUCUGAAUUUUCUAGGGAGGAUUUGGGGGAUACCAAGAAGGGAAAGGAUAAAGGCAGCAAGAAGAAAAAGAAGAAAGGGGUCAGUAGCGAGUCUAAGCAUGAGAGUGAGUACAAGAAGGGUUUAAGACCUGUCUUGUGGCUGACACCGGAUUUUCCUUUGAAAACUGAGGAGCUCCUACCUUUACUUGAUAUAUUAGCGAACAAGGUCAAAGCUGUUAGGAGGCUUAGGGAGCUUCUGACUACUAAAUUACCUCAAGGAACAUUUCCUGUCAAGGUUGCCAUCCCAAUUGUCCCAACUAUUCGGGUGCUU
rnacentral:misc_RNA from 1 species